GCCGCCAUUCUGUCAGCACCAUCAACAAUAAAAUUAUGGAAGAGGUGGAGCGGAAGCGGUAGCGGGAGCGGAAGUGAGGAAGGAGCACGCGCCAAUAGCGAGCAGCGGCUGCUGGCUUCGGCGUGGUACCAGCUCGGCGCGCGAUGCCAUCGGGACGCAGUGGAAACCCGCUUCGCCCUCCUGUCAGCCGGGCACUCGUUCCUCGCGCGCCAAAGGCGGCAGGCCCCGCGCCCGCGCCCUUCCAACGCGUCCGCGGCGACUGCGCCCGCGCAAUGACCCCCGUGCCGUCCUUCUCUGCUCGUCUACUACGCCAACGACAGGACUAGGAUCGUGCAAGAGUGAGGCUCUUUAUGCGACAACAUUAUCUAUCUAGUAACGACUAAGUGGACUUCUAAUUAGUUUGUUUCUGUGACGGUUUUAACUAAUCUGAUAGAUUAAUUCAUGAGCUUGAAUGGAUCGCAAUUUCCUUGCGCCGAAAAGAGCGUUGUGUAAUAGAACUUGUGAGACAAUGUCCCUGCCUAUUAAUUCGUAUCUCCCGCCAGGGAAAAUGAUCGAUAAUCGCUCGCUCAUCGGAGAUAGACGAAUUUUACGAUUAGUCCUUAAAGAAUAAGAUUUCGGAACUUUCGCAGAUUGAAAAUAUGCCUUAUGUACGUGCUAGAUAAAGUGAACAUGCAGCGUAAUUGUAUUUUUAAAUUGGCUUUAUAAAUUCCUAAAAAAACUAUUAAAAAACUUCGUUUACAAUUACUCUGCAUGACCGCAAUGCGCAAGAGCAAAGACUUUUAUGUAGAAUAAUUGAGUAUAUAAUGGCGCUCUUUCCAAAUCACUACCGUAUUGUGAUCAUUUCAUUUGCUAUAGUAUGUUGUCAUGAUCGUUUCUUCUAGCGAAAAUAAUGAUACAGUGAUACAAAAAUCUAUUUACCUAUUACACUUGAAGAGUUGUUCAAACUGACGCGCAAGAUAUGUUUGAACAAUUCUAUAUAUUUACCGCGUAACAUUUUUUGUUACGCAACGAAACUUCGGUAGUCAAUACUCUUUUGUUAAAUGUGAAAUUAGUGCCUGUGAAAAAUACACUUCAGAACAAUGUAUACACACUUCUUUAGCGGAAUCGAACAAAUUAAUAUAAUCAAGUCUUAUUAAUAAAAAUCAAUAUUUUUAAUUGUGAAAAAUGGAACUGUAUAUCCUGUAGUGUUGUGAUUAUUGAGAAGUAGGGAAAAAUAUCUUAAAAAUACGUUUUGAUUUGGAAUUGUGUCAGAAAUUUACAUUGAAAAGUUUUAGUAUUAAAUAUUCAUGAUGAUUUUUUAAAUGAAUUACAAGUCACAACGAUUUAUUGCAUUCCUGAUUUAUAAUAC